ensembl:lncRNA
GAGAAGUUGUUUUUACUCAAAUGCUAAGAUCACAGAGAAAUCUACCAUGCUGCUCUUCUAUUUCUUACUGCAUUUUAAUAUUAAGACUUAGGAGGAGCCUUAACUGGAGUCCACACGGAUCAGUGCUGUUAUCCCAACAAGCGUGUGUAGUCCACAUCUGAUAAAAGAGGUUCUCGCGAGCAGUACACAGACAACCCGCUGUAGACGAGGCCGAUGCCAGAGCCGAUAUCUGCCUCCUGUAGACGUCAACAUCAUCCAGGAAGGAUAGCACCCUGACCCCCCGUGGCUCAAUCAAAUCUACGCAAAUGCACCACUUUAUCCGAGCAUGCAGCUUAUCGUCACACGAGUGUGUGUGUGUUUCUGGGAUCCAUGGUAUUCUCUCCUUGUGUUGGUGUAAGACAGCUUCCAUUCUUUCCCGACGAUCAUUACCGAGAGGAAACAGGGACACAAUGGCCGACCAAUGACACUGCUUGGUGGGAAAGUCCUUCCCAAGGCACCAAUGUGAAGCCGGCCCAGGAUAUUAUCUGCCGGAACAGCGUGGACCCGGGUCUAUGCGCGCGGUUCACCCCGCUUCCACGGUUAAAAAUACUGUUGAUUGUACUGCGGCACCCAGCUGCCUGCUGGGGCUUUGUUUAGGAACAGCUGGGUUCUGCAUCUGUGUUGUUUCGACCACAACACGUCUGUAUUUUGGGCUCCGUGCCAUAAGGAAAUGGGCCGGUUUCUCAAGACCAACAGGGGAAUAACAGUUGCUCCGCAGCCAAAGUAAAUAGGUGUCCCGCUCGGUUUGAUCACGUGAGGGUGAUAAGCACACUGCUGUUCCAAUGAAUCCGCCGUGGAUUACAGUGUUUGGACUGGAUUUGAAGAUGAUGCUUUUGUUGCUCCUAUGCCUGCUACUGCCAUCUUCUACGGCUUUAUCAAAGGAGGUUGAAGGAUCUGCUGAUGAGCCCGAUGAUGAGGACCUUAUCCGUGCCGUGGAUGUGCAACCCACAAAUGAAUACCAGGAUCCUGACAUGGGCAAAACUACAGGGGAAGAAGAAUCAGACCAGUUUGUGGGGAUUGUCGUUGGUGUGGCUGUGGCCAUGGUGGCUCUGUCUGUCGCUGUGAUAAUUGCAAUACUGUUGGUCCGACGCAACAUGCAAAGGCGUCAGCAAGGCGUGUACUCGGUGCCCGCAGACCAGGACCAGAAGGUCUCUGUGUAGCUCCUGGGUUCCAGCCCCCCAGGACCCAGUAGAACACCGAAAGGAGGACCAAUGCACUGACCACAUAUUUCACUCACAGGGUUAAGGGUUUAACCCCGGACAGGUUCAGGGUUUGACCCGGACAGGUUCAGGGUUUGACCCCGGACAGGUUUAGGUUAAGGCGCCAUCUUGCAUAUCCCUGUAUACUUGUAUUUCUCGCUGCUGAUCUGUGCCACGCUCAUAUUAAUAAUUAGAAAGUGAUGUUUGCCUUUCUGUCAUGCUUCAAUCCUGCAUUUUUGCAUUAUAAUAUGAACACACCAUUUCACUUGGGAACAUUUGGAACACAUUAAGCCUUUUAAUAAGAUUCUAUUUAAAGAUGAAACGCGGGAGCCUUUAAAUGUUUCUUUAAAUGGAACGGCUUCUGUUGUGAGCGGGAUUUCUCCCAUUCCUCUCCGGCUAAGGUGCGUGGUGGAAACAUUGAUGUGGGGGAUCUGUUGGGACAGACCUGCCACGAGCGGAACAGGCUUAUUUCAAAGACAAACCGUGCUAAUCCACAGCAGAGUGGCUCAGUUCUCACUUCGGUUUCCUCUUCAUUUGCCUGACAUCCCCUGUUCUUCACCCAGUAGGAGUGGCAGGAGGGGAUGGGAGAUAAAGCUGGCUUUCCCCACAACUCAGGCCAGGCUCAACUAGUGUGUGUGUGUGUGUGUGUGUGUGUGUGUGUGUGUGUGUGUGUGUGUGUGUGUGUGUGUGUGUGUGUGUGUGUGUGUGUGUGUGUGUGUGUGUGUGUGUGCGUCUGUGUGUGUGUGUGUGUGUGUGCAGUGCUAGUUAGAACAUCCUGUUGCGAGGCAGUGAAUUAAUCGACCGCCAUGAAUGAUGACGUUUUUUUUCCCCCCACUUCCUCCAGAAGACAAUCUCUCCAACGUCCUCAGCCUGGAAGAUUGUAAAUAAAAUAAAUAGCUCUAUGAUGGCUGGGGGUUGGGAAGAUGGGGUUUUAUAACCGGGACAGAGAGACAAGAUGGGGGUUGGGGAGAGAUUUUUAUACCCGUG